AUUGAGCGUUGGCGGCAUGCUUAACACAUGCAAGUCGAACGGUAACAGGCCCUUCGGGUGCUGACGAGUGGCGGACGGGUGAGUAAUGCUUAGGAAUCUGCCUAGUAGUGGGGGAUAACCCGGGGAAACUCGGGCUAAUACCGCAUACGCCCUACAGGGGAAAGCGGGGGACUUUCGGGCCUCGCGCUAUUAGAUGAGCCUAAGUCCGAUUAGCUAGUUGGUAGGGUAAUGGCCUACCAAGGCGACGAUCGGUAGCUGGUCUGAGAGGACGACCAGCCACACUGGGACUGAGACACGGCCCAGACUCCUACGGGAGGCAGCAGUGGGGAAUAUUGGACAAUGGGCGCAAGCCUGAUCCAGCGAUGCCGCGUGUGUGAAGAAGGCCUGCGGGUUGUAAAGCACUUUCAGU
rnacentral:rRNA from 1 species